rnacentral:lncRNA from 1 species
UACAUCGCCAACAAAUUAAUUCAAUUAAAAUUAUUAAUGUAUAAAGUUGUAAAACCAGCAUGAGAUUAUGUUUUGUAGAAGACAAAGCGAUCUAAAGAUAAUAAUUAUAUUUUUCCAAGGAACCUCUCCGCACGAUUCCUAAUAAGACACAAUCGCACCAAGCACCGAGAUGGGAAAGAAAUGAAAAUUCCGCCGCUUUGAUGUGCAAAAUAAAUUGGAGUUAAUUUGUUUCUAAAUGCCAACGUGUUUGGGUGUCGGGCAUGUAUGAUUCCGAAAAUAAUUAUGUGCGCUCUUUCGGUUUGAUUGAAAACGACUUUCAAAUAGAUAACAUGUAUGAAUUAAAAAACAAAAAUCCUCAAGGGUAAAAUAAAUCAAUGAGGAGAAACUCUAGGAGCGGAACCGUGAAAUCGAAAAGAAAACCUGAUUGUCAAUCGUUUUGUUCGUUAAGACGAUGAAUAUCGACCUGCGGGUAUAUUAAAACAGCAAAUGUAUCGUUCGUUAACGAUUAUACGAGUUCGUGUUGAGUUCGAGUGCGAAAAAGGUUAGCGUCAAUCAUUAAUUUUUGUCAAUCAUUGUCAAAAAUGACGAUUGCACCUUCGUGUUUGGGGUCGAGUACGAAAUAUGAAUACUAGUUCGUGUUCGAGUUCGAGAAUCGUAGAAUCGAGAACAAAAAAUUAAAAAACAAAUGUAUCGUUCGUUAAUUAUUAUGAGUUCGUGCUUGAGUUCGAGUGCGAACAAAGUUCGUGUUUGAGCUCGAGUGCGAACAAAGUUAAACGGGUACAAGUAACGUUAGCAGACGAAUGUACACGAGUACGAGUACUUCAACUGCGGAAGAAUUAUUACGCGAACGUAUGAUUGGGCCAUGUUAGUAAUCUUUUAAAUUGAUCUCCGUUCGAUUGAAAAUGACUCUCAAAAAAAGAUAACAUGCAAAUUAAAAGAUGAUAAUCCUCAAGAAUAUAUAGUAGAUAAAUGAGGAAAAUCCUAGAAGCAGGAACGUGGAAUCUGAAAUUAAAAGUCAUUGUCAAUCAUUAAUUUGCCCGAUAUGUGUAUAGGAAGAAAAUAGGACGAUGGAUAUCAACAUGCUAUAUAUUAAAAUAACAAAUGUAUUGUUCUAUAACGAUUACGAGUUCGUAACAAGUACAUUGUACUUAAAACUGCUAAACCACGUAGCACCUGCUAUCAUAGGAAGGGUUUUUAUGUCGAAAUCAUGGUGGGGCCAUGUGUAGUGAAUCGUUCUGCUUCUCUUCCAAUUUCCAACAUCUAUCUUUUUUGUUUAAUCUUGCACAGUAAUAUUCCCUGCUUGACAUUUAAAGACAACGAUUGUGAGAUAUUGUAUUUUUUUAACGUUUGUAACAAUUCUUGAUAUAUAUUUAGAGUCAUGUGUAUGAAUCAAACGUUUUCAAAUUCCAGUCGCGUAAUCACGCAGUUUAUCGUCGUUCUACACUGAUUCCCAUUGUUAAAAAAUCUUAGGGCCAUGUGUACAAAACUUUCAUCGCCAAACUUAUAUGACAGAAUAUUUACAGGAUUCAAGGGCCAUGUGAACGUGAUUUACUUUGUUUUUGUAAACAAUGUCUAAUUUAUUUUUGCAAAAUUAUUUUAGGGCCAUGUGGUGUAGUGUAUAGAUCUUAUAUUCCUCCGUUCUGUAUAAAUUUCUCCAAUAACCGGACGUGUAUUUUCUGCGUCGGGGUAUGCAUGAUAUGAGAUAACAAAUGUGUCGUUCGUUAAUUAUUACAAGUUCGUGUUAAACAGUUACAAGUAACGUUAGAAGACGAAAUAUGUACACGAGUGCAAGUACUUAAACUGCGGAAGAAUUAUUACGCGAACGUGUGUUUGGGCCAUGUGUAGUAAUCUUUUAAAUUGAUCUUCAUUUGGUCGAAAAUGACUCUAGAAAAAGAUUAUAUAAAUUAAAAUGUGAUAAUCCUCAAAAGUAGAAAAUAAAGGAAGAAACACAAUAAUGUCUCCUGCUUGACAUUUAAAGACAAUGAUUGUGAGAUGCAUAGAGUUAUUUUUGUGUACGGAAUAUUUUUUUUCGUUUGUAACAAAUCGUGAUAGAUAUUGAGGGCCAUGUGUACGAAUCCAUUUUUUUGAAAUUCCUGUCGCGUCUGUUUGCAUUUUCCCGUUGUUCUACAUUGAUUCUCAUUGUAAAAAAAAUCCUAGGGCCAUGUGUACACAACUCAAUCACCGUUCUGUAGAGAUUUCUGCCCCAAAGGGAUUUUUUCUUGCGUUCUGUACUUACAUCUAUGACACAUUAUUUACAGGAUUCCAGGGACAUGUCUUAGGCUAACUCUGUGUUUGUACAAAAGCUGUUUAAUUUAUUUUGCAAAAUUAUAUUAGGGCCAUGUAGUGCAAUGUUUAGAUCUUAUAUUCCUCCGUUCUGUGAACAUUUCUCAAAUAGCCGGACGUGUAUUUUCGGCGGUUAUGCAUGGAAUGAAGUAACAAAUUAGUUCGAGUGCGAACAAAGUUAAACGGUUACAAGCAACGCUAGCAGACGAAAUAUGUGCGCAAGCACGAGUACUUAACUACGGAAGAAUUAUUACGCGAACGUAUAUGAUUGGGCCAUGUGUAGUAAUCUUUUAAAUAGAUUUCCGUUCGAUUGAAAAUAACUUUAAAACAAGAUGAUAUAAAUUAAAAGGUGAUGAUCCACAAUAAUGUCUCCUGCUUGACAUUUAAAGACAAUGAUUGUGAGAUGUACAGUGUCAUGUUUGUGUACGGAAUAUUUCUUCCGUUUGUAACAAAUCGUGAUAGAUAUUGAGGGCCAUGUGUACGAAUAAAACUUUUUGAAAUUCCUGUCGCGUCUAUUAGGCAUUUUUGUCGUCGUCUUUCUACAUUGAUUCUCGUUGUUAAAACAAUCCUAAGGCCAUGUAUACAAAACUUUCAUCGCCGUUUUGUUGAGAUUUCUGCCAAACCAUUUUUGUUCUUGGCGUUAUCUUCUGUACUUAUAUGAAAGAGUAGUUACAGGAUUCCAGGAACAUGUCUUACUUUUUUUUUUUUAAUCUUUCUAAAUUAUUAUGCAAUAUAAAAUAGGGCCAUGUGGUGCAGUUAAAAGAUCUUAUAUUCCUCCGUUAUGCAUACAUUUCUCCAAUAGCCGGAGUGUAUUUUCUUGAACACUGCUUGUGCAUGCAUAUCGCACCCCGUCUUGAGUGCGAAUCAUUGUGUUAAAUUCUCUAGGGACAUGUGUUGAGUAUAUAAUAAGCUACUUUGAAGCUUAAAAAGCUCUAAUGUUGGAGCUAUUUUUUUUCUUGUAUGCUCUUUGUAUUCCUCACAUGUCGUAACUUCACCGUGGUUCAUGAAGUAAAAUACUCUAUGGGGCCAUGUUUACAAAUCUACUUUGUUUGUCUGUAUGACAACCAUUUUCUUGGAUAUCUAUUUUUUUUUUUUUAACAUUAUCUAUAUGUAUAGGGCCAUGUGCUGAUCUUAAAGAUUCCUUGCAACAUGUAACGGUCGUGAUACGUUAUCAAAAUGAUGGUUUCAACGAUUCCACGAUUAUUUUGCGACAUGAAAUAGUCUCUGAUCCUUGUCGAAAUGUGUCUCGACACACAUUGUUGUUUGUUCUUCCAUAAUAACCGAUUUGCAAAGAAUAUAAUUGCCUUUUGUGUUAGAGCCAUUGUGACAAUUUGUUUAUUGUAAAUCAGGUGAAAUGACACCUGUUAUGUUGGAUACACCUUGUAAUAGCUUUGUAAAAUGUACAGUCUGAUUUUACAGGGUGAAACAAUGUGCAGCAAUUUAUUUUUUUAACAACCAUAACACCAGUGGAGGUUUUGAUGGGUGGUACUUUUCAAUUCUGAUAAGUCCGAUCACAACUGGUCGGCAAUGUGAAUGUUGUUUGCCUUUGAACCGCGUAGCGCGUUGGAUGCGCGUUGCUUUGUCCAUACUGGAGUUAUCAUCUUCGCGACCAGUAGGCAAAAUUUUCUAUUUAGAAUAAACUAAGUUUUGUAAGUAACGGUUGAAUCCAUUACAGUGGUCAGGUAAGGGCCACUAAUUGGAUUAUCUUGUUUGUUUAAUUAUAACUUUACACCCAGUUGCCUAGAGAUCUAAGUAGCGUAGACCUAAACUAAGUGUCCCUUUUUGUAUGAUUGUAUCUUUUUAGUGGUCAGGUAAGGACCAUUAUAAUUAUACGUUUUUAUUCUCUUUAUACCACACCACCGGUCACCAAUUUGACCAGGAAAUUUCUGUACAUUGUACUAACGUAACCUAGCUCCGCUAGGAAGACUUCUUUUCUUUUCAGCAACAUGCAAUUGGAGGAUCAGUAAGCCAGAGUGCUCAUGUCAGGAGCUGAUGACACGGAGGAACCGGAAGCAGGGGGGAGGAACACCGGAUGACUGACGACCCUGCUUGCCGGGCGACCCAUUACUGGUUUCCCAGAGAUGGACGGUCUGCAAGAUGAGAUGUCAUUCUGGAUGAAGAUAAGAUCACCUCUGAAUCCCAAGGAACCGGAAGCAGGGAGGAGGACCGACGGAAGGACUGAUGACCUGCUUGCAGAGCAAUUCUUCACCAACUCUUGAGAUUCCUCUUGCUUCGUAUAAGCAGAAGAAGAGAAGCCGAAAAACUCCCAUACUGGUCUCAACGUGUGCGUUGCUGAUAGUCUUAUUGUAAAAGUGUAGUCUUGUAAAUGCUUGGGUGUUGCUAUUGAUUUGGGGCCCAAACGUUGAAUACGUAAGGAAAACAGUUUCUUCCUAACAUGAUAUGUUGAACAGAAUUCGUGAUUACUUAUGUUCCCCAAGGCGGCACUUUAUGCAAUGCCCCCAAUUCGUAGUUGCCGUUCCCCCCCCCCCCCCAUUUUUCCCAAACACUUUAUCUACAAAUAGAUAGCGCCCUCACUCUGACUGUGGCUUGAACCAACGCACUUAAUGGAGCGCGGACUGCAAACAACUCCGUAAAAGCCUGAUCGUACAAACUGCAUAGCGCCCUCAGUCACUGCUUUCUACUGAUGCCAUUGACGCUAACGUAUUUACAUCUUUGCCGUUGGUCGAUAAUUGGUCUACGUUUUGUGAUCUGUGUAUAUUUGAAGCAAGACGGAAAAGGCAGUCUUUAGCUUUAAAAUGUCAGAAGGGAAAUAACAAACACUGAAAUGAUUAUUUCUGUAGAAACUAUAUUUAUUUAAAAACAAUAUUUAUUGGAGCGCUGUGGUCCAAUGGUUACGGCGUUCGACUCGUGUGACGCGGUACGUGGGUUCGAACCCAGACAGGGAACGUGGUGUUUGUGUUCUUAGGCAAGACACUUUACUAUACGAUUGCCCCUCUUCGCCCAGGAGUAUAAAUGGGUACCUGUGAGGGCAUAGAGACUAAAGUGCGCUGAUCUCGAACUGCUGCAAAAACUGGUCUCA